rnacentral:lncRNA from 1 species
CACAUUUUCAUUAUUAGAUCAAAGGAGAAGGACAUUACAGGAAGUAACUUGCAAAUGAAAUAUCAAAAUUGGCUGGAGUAUACACUUUCAUUCUAAUCAAAUACCAUUCUCUUUUUCCAGAAUCAAUAGAGGAAACCAAAGAAAGGAGACACGUGGUCUGAAAUUAAUACAGCUGGUGAAGUCAGACUUAAAGCAGUACAUAAGAAAACCUCUCAGAUAUUAUAGGCUUUGAUUGCAGUGUGAAUGGCUGACUUGAAACUGACAUCAACUACUUCUUGGGGAAGACAGCUGAACACAAAAAGGAUGUUUGCAAUAAGCUCUUCUGUCAAGAAUCAGAAUUUAAUGAAAAAUAAACACCACCAGUGGAGUCUUGCCCGAAAAGUUGAUGUAACAACUUCUUAGAAUUGAUGUGAGCUACUGUUAUUGAAGCCAAGGUGAUUUCUUUUUCCUUUUUCUCUUUUUUUCCCUCUUUCAGCAUCCACAAAUAAUAUACAUAGUCAAAUAUUAAAAGUAGAAAUGUAAGGUUCUGAUAAAGUAAGUUAAAAGGGAAAGUUAUAGGUUUUGGAUGAACUCUGUUUAUAAUAAACUUAGCAUUGAUUUUCAGUUAAUAUUGCUUCUAAAUGUUAUAUUUGGUAAAUGACACUAUUUUAUGACUUUACUUGAAAGUAUCUUACAUUCCUG